AGCUGCUGGCUCAGGUGCGGCCUGUGUGGGAGGACUCGUGUCUCGGUGGUUACAGAGAAGCUGGCUUCCACGGUGUGAACCCGACUGAAUCACAGGCCGCUUUUUUGUUCUCCCUCGGCCUUGGAGGGCCUGGGACGUUCCUGUUGCCCAACAUCCUGGUGAGCUGAGAACAUUCUGUAGAUUAAUUAGGUUCUCUCCUCUGGCUCAGCAGGUCUGUUCUAGCCAUUUGACCAAAGGCUCUCUGAUAUUUUCUACCAGCCUUAGAACGACAGUCUGCAGAUGUGUGCACAUAAAUGUCUGGGAGGAGCACACAGAUACUGUGGGAGGAGUGGGUCCGGCGUAGCUAUUGGGAGAUCUCGCUCGUACACAUGGCGCUACAUAGAAAGAAUGCCCUGAGGUGAAGGUGACAGCUCGGCAGUUUCUUAAUACCCUGAACUUGAGCGUGGCCUGCGCUAGAGAAAAUACACGGUGCUUCUUAAAAACAAAAGCCAGCAGCCUGCAAGAGGGCUGUGCCUGCGAGUUCCUGGGAGCAGGAGGGGGCUGUUCCUCCGCCCCUGGCUCCAGUUUCACCCAAGUCACUUCACAGCAGUUGGAAGGAGGUCACCAAUUGCUGCGGCCACACCAACAGACGUCGUCCGGCCUUCUUCACACGCAACGAAGCGCCCAGGUGGAAAUGCAUGUACCCGCGGCAGCUUCUCGGCAGCGGGCUUCCUGGGACGGAAGACACAGGCUCGCCCGAGGGAGACGGAAGCAGGGGAUCUGCUAGAACUCAGCUCGCCUCCUCCUUUCUCAGCAGGGCAGAGAAUCAUGGGCUUGUGCUGACGAAAGCUCCAGAAAAUGGACUCAUUUAACCUUUCCAAAGAUAUUAUCCAAGCUGCAAAAUCUUGGCAAUCUGAAGACCUUUUAAGUCGAUAUACCAAAGAGCUUUAGUCAGGAUUGAAUGCAAAAUGCCAAAAUUUCACUUUUAAAAUCAUCGUAACAUCUAAAUACAACCUAAGCACACUUGUAAACUGAUGCCGAACAGGCACUUGGAGAGCCCUCCCUGCACCCCUUCCUCGCCCCCUCCUUUGUGCAAAUGCUGUUUGCCCAGAACUUCAGCCACUGAAAAUCCUGGGAACUUUCUCUUCCUGGCUGCCAACCUAGCAGUUUGGACUCACAGACGAGAUUUUUAAAUCACUGAGGGAUUUAAGCCUCUCUGUGUCACAGAAAAGCGAACACCCUCCCAGUUGAAGGUGGCCCCAAAGAUGCGGGCCUGGGACCCAGGACUUCUGCAGGAGAGUGGACGCCUGGGUGCCCCCCGCCUUGCCCUGCACAUGUAAAAAUACUCGACUGCAAGACUAUGAGUGUGCAGAUAAUUCUGCUGCUUACUCCGAUUGGAGGUGUCUCCAGGGAGUUUCCAAGCACAGGAAGCAUUCCUGCUCUGAGGUUUCGGAAGAACACUUUCAGCAGGAUUUUGGGUCACUGAAAUGAAAGUGAACUAUGCUCUGUACAAAUGUAUCAUGUUUAAUUCAGGAGAAAUUCAUGCAUUUCUUUGUUCUAUAAAUAUUUACUGGCAGCUCGUUUUGUAUAGGAGGCUGCCACCUCCCAAAAGCCCCCUGCUCCUCGAGUGGGUUGAGCCUGAAACCCCACAUCCACAGACGUGCCCAGCGGCCUUGGGUGCUCAACACAGGCUCGUUCAGAAUAACAGAGUACACCAGUCAUCAUAAGAAGAAAAAUUCACAUUUAAAGUUUGGAAAGCAACAGGACAAAGGUCUGUCUUCAGUGGUGCGUAGACAUGCUCGUGAUUGAAUUGGAAAUAGUUCUCUUUCCUUCUCUCUGACUUCCUAACUGAAAAGCUGCAGCGUGGGGAGAAAGGCUGCUCAGAAGCCUGGAGCCAGAACACGCACCCCGGCUUUUGCAGGGCCGGCUCACUUGGUUAGAAUCAAAGGAAAAGCCUUGUUAUUUGGGAAGCUGGGCGUCCUCACCAAAUUAGGGGAUUUAAUUUGCAGAUAUCUAAGGAGUGCUUUGAAAUGAAAGAUGAACUAAAAUCUGCUCUGAGGCCCGUGAUUUUUCACCAGUGAAGGACUCUCUUGCUGCUGGACAUACAUGAAAAGCAUCAUCUGAUCUGAAACGCAAGUCCCUGCAAGACAGAGGAGAGACUUUAUAAACAUUUUAUACCAUUCUAUGAAAUCAAUUCGAUUCAGGGCUAGAAUUCAAGAAGUAAUCCAUGGGCAAGUAUAUCUGAUGGUAAACCCAAACGAUUAUAUUGUUAACCUCUUGUACUUUUUUUAAUUUUUUAUUAUUUGAUAUUAUUAUCACAAAAGUCGCUGGAACAGGAUCCAUGAGCUGCUUCUUCACUGCUUAGUGUUUUCAGAAGCUGAUGGAUUAUUAAGCUCCAAUUGAAUACUUGAUUUCCAAUGAUUCCAUUAAUUUUUCUGGUUUGUGGUAGGAUUUGAUUUACUUAUUUUGUACUUUAACACACCAAUAAAAAAUAGAUACUAAGAAAUAGUGAAAUUUGUUGCUUCAAAAUAACCCUUAAAAUUUAGAGUUUAGUGAAAUUAAGCAAUUCAAAUAGAGAAACGAUUAUCCUUCAUUUCCUUAAGGCACAGAAAUUGAGACUAGGUUCAAGAACCUUCAUAUUUUAAAAACUGGAAAAUACUGGCUAAGUGAGGACUGGGCGGUCAUCCUCCACACAUGCUCUGUGUGCUUGGAGCGAAGAGGGGAACGCACUGAAUGAGAUGAACUGGAAGGAGGUGCAGCAGCGAAGGAAAUCCUUCUGUUGGGAGAGUUCACGUGUUUAGGAUAAUCCUUCGAAUAGGACGCAACAGUGAUGUGAGGAGAAGCUUUGGAGCUGAUUUAGAUUGAGACAGUCUAUCACAGGCUGUUUGGUUGCAUCCCUUUGGGGCCAGUCUCAUUUUAGGUCUAAAUAUGCAGGAAUGGGGCUCUGGCUUCCAGAAGUUUCAGGCUGCAAAAGGCUGGGGCCACCAUCUUUACAGAUAAUCCAUUAGUUUGAUUCUCUUGGGGGCCAGGAAGAAAACCAAGAACACUCAAUGGACUAUGGGACUCAAAUAAUCCACAGGAGGCGUUUGUAAAGGGGCAAAACUGUGUGUGCCCAGUAAUUCUUGGAGCUCGCAAUAGAGGUGGAGAAGCAGUGAUGGGCCCCACAGCAGCAGGGGCUUGGGAAUGACGGAAAAGAACAAAAUGAUGGAAGGACAGCUGGAAGAAACAGGGAAGCUUCCUUUUAACUGGAUGCUGGGUCUCAGCCUUGAAUAGUUCCUGGCCUUCGGAGGCCUUUUCUCAGGGAGCAUGGCCUGGGGACUCCCUGCUUGCUCUGCUGAGCUUUCAGGGAAGGAGAAAUGGGCAAGGCCAGAGGCGACCAUCAGGUGCUCCGUAGGCACAGAGGCAGAACUCAAGGUUUAGCUUUACCUUAAGAGGGUGACUGCAAAGUGUGCUCCCUGGACCAGGGGCCUCGGCCUCACCUGGGAGCUUGCUAAAAAUGCAAGUUGCUCUCACCCAGACUGAAUCUAAAAUUCUGGGUACAGCCCAGCAAUCUCUGCUCACACUUUCUCCAGAUGAUUCUGGUGCAAGCUAACCUUUCAAAAGUCCUGGGUCCCAUUCCCAGAGGCUGUGAUUAAGUUGGUCUAGGGCUGUGGCCUAGACCUGGGGAUUUUGGAAGCCCACAGGUGAUUCUGUUGUGCAGCCAUGGUUGGCAGGCUGUUCACGGUGCUGUUCAACAGGUCCUGCUGUGGGAUGGAAAGGGUCUGUAUCUGCACUGGCCAAUGUGGGAGCCAGCCCUGUGGCUAUUGAGCACUUGGCCCCUGGCUAGUGCAACUGAGGAGCUGAAUUUUUCAUUUCAUUUACUUUUAAUUAAGUUUAAAUAGCUAAAUGUGGCUAUUGUCUGCCUUAUUGGAUAGCAGAGUUCUAGAACCACAGAUAAAUGUAAUACUGUCCCUUUAGUUGAUUUAAAAAUCCAAUGCCUCUGUAAUCCUAGCACUUUGGGAGGCCAAGGUGGGCUGAUCACGAGGUCAAGAGAUCGAGACCAUUCUUGCCAACAUGGUGAAACCCCGUCUCUACUAAAAAUACAAAAAUUAGCCGGGCAUGGUGGCAGGCACCUGUAAUCCCAGCUACUCGGGAGGCUGAGGCAGGAGAAUCACUUGAACCCACGAGGCGGAGCUUGCAGUGAGCCAAGAUUGCACCACUGCACUCCAGCCUGGUGACAGACGGAGAUUCUGUCUCAAAAAAAAAUGCCUCACAGAGUUAAAUAUUUAAGUUGAUAAGAAAAAUGGUAGUCGAGUCUUUGAGGAUUAUUUUAAAAUCCACUUUUGGUGAUAAAUAGAUAAAAACAGUGUGGUAGGGCCCAGAAGUUCUUCCUGAUUUCUACCUGUUGGAGCUGAAUUCCUCAAUUUUACUUGUAGGAGAACGGCUUCCUAAAGGGCACCUUACCCAGCCAUUCCUGCAUGCAAGUGUGUAUGAGAACUGCAGGGGGCAUUAUAUGAAAAUCCAAUUCCUGGGCUCUAUCCCAGAUGUUCCUAUCCAAUAGGUCUGGGUUGGGGCCCUGGAAACUGCAUUUUUGGCAAACCCCUUACUGAUUUGGAUGCACAAGUUUCAAGGAACAGGCACUAAGGAUCGCUGAUGUAGAAUCUGUUUGUCCAUCCAGGAAAGCCAGAGUCACCACACUUGAGUAAAUGGGUUUUGAUGUAGGAAAGGUCUUUAUAAUUCUUUCAUGAAUUCACCAAACUUUAAAAACUGUACUAUUUUUGGCUGGGCUUGGUGGCUCACGCCUGUAAUCUCAGCACUUUGGGGGCCAAGGCGGGUGGAUCAUGAGGUCAGGAGAUCGAGACCAUCCUGGCUAACACGGUGAAAACCUGUCUCUACGAAAAAUACAAAAAAAAAAAAUUAGCCGGGCGUGGUGGCGGGUGCCUGUAGUCCCAGCUACUCAGGAGGCUGAGGCAGGAGAAUGGCGUGAACCC
rnacentral:lncRNA from 10 species